CCUACGGGUGGCAGCAGUGAGGAAUAUUGGUCAAUGGGCGCGAGCCUGAACCAGCCAAGUAGCGUGAAGGAUGACUGCCCUACGUGUUGUACACUUCUUUUAUAAAGGAAUAAAGUGAGGCACGUGAGCCUUUUUGUAUGUACUUUAUGAAUAAGGAUCGGAUAACUCCGUGCCAGCAGCCGCGGUAAUACGGAGGAUGCGAGCGUUAUCCGGAGUUAUUGGGUUUAAAGGGAUCGUAGAAGGGUUGUUAAGUCAGUUGUGAAAGUUUGCGGCUCAACCGUGAAAUUGCAAUUGAUACUGGCAGUCUUGAGUACAGUUGAGGUAGGCGGAAUUCGUGGUGUAGCGGUGAAAUGCUUAGAUAUCACGAAGAACUCCGAUUGCGAAGGCAGCUUACUAAACUGCCACUGACAUUGAUGCUCGAAAGUGUGGGUAUCAAACAGGAUUAGAUACCCUGGUAGUC
rnacentral:rRNA from 1 species